rnacentral:rRNA from 1 species
UACGAAGGGUGCAAGCGUUACUCGGAAUUACUGGGCGUAAAGGGUGCGUAGGUGGUCUUUUAAGUCUGUUGUGAAAUCCCUGGGCUCAACCUGGGAAUGGCAGUGGAUACUGGAAGGCUAGAGUGCGGUAGAGGGUAGUGGAAUUCCCGGUGUAGCAGUGAAAUGCGUAGAUAUCGGGAGGAACACCUGUGGCGAAAGCGGCGCACUGGACCAUAACUGACGCUGAGGCGCGAAAGCUAGGGGAGCAAACAG